AGGUGUGAUCAUACCAGCACUAAUGCAUCGGAUCCCAUCAGAACUUCGCAGUCAAGCGUGCUUCGGCGAGAGUAGUACUAGGAUGGGUGACCUCCUGGGAAGUCCUCGUGUUGCACUUC
rnacentral:rRNA from 1 species